UGAUACAUAGGGCCAUCUUAGGAUCUGUCGAGCGCAUGCUUGCGAUCCUUUUGGAACAUUAUAAAGGGAAGUGGCCUUUUUGGCUUAGUCCUCGUCAAGCCAUUGUCUGUCCUGUAUCUGAGAAGUCUCAAGCAUAUGCUUUACAGGUACGUGAUCAAAUACAUCAAGCUGGUUACUAUGUUGAUGUCGAUACGAGUGACAGGAAAAUUCAAAAGAAGAUUCGUGAAGCUCAACUUGCCCAGUAUAACUAUACCUUGGUAGUUGGUGAAAAGGAAGUAGAAAACGGACAGGUAAGUGUGCGCAUUAGAGACCGAUCUGAUCAUUCAGUGAAGAGCAUUUCAGAUCUUCUCCAGGAUUUCAAGG
rnacentral:misc_RNA from 1 species